rnacentral:rRNA from 1 species
CCUACGGGAGGCAGCAGUGAGGAAUAUUGGUCAAUGGGCGGAAGCCUGAACCAGCCAAGUAGCGUGAAGGAUGACGGCCCUACGGGUUGUAAACUGCUUUUAUACGGGAAUAACGCGCCUUACGUGUAGGGCUUUGCAUGUACCGUAUGAAUAAGGACCGGCUAAUUCCGUGCCAGCAGCCGCGGUAAUACGGAAGGUCCGGGCGUUAUCCGGAUUUAUUGGGUUUAAAGGGAGCGUAGGCGGCAUGUCAAGCGUGCUGUGAAAGGUCCGGGCUCAACCCUGGACUUGCAGCGCGAACUGGCGUGCUUGAGUGCGCGGGAGGUAGGCGGAAUUCGUCGUGUAGCGGUGAAAUGCUUAGAUAUGACGAAGAACCCCGAUUGCGAAGGCAGCUUGCUGCAGCGGAACUGACGCUGAUGCUCGAAAGCGUGGGUAUCGAACAGGAUUAGAUACCCCGGUAGUC